GUGUGCAGAAGGUCAAAGAGCACCUGUUGUGGACACUUGGCUACUUGGUUGUGGACACUUCAGGAACUAGCUUGGCAUAGAGAAAAUGGAUGCAGAAAAGUUUUGCUCCCUCUCUCAUAACAUGAGAACUCAUGGAUGUCCAACGAAGCUGGAUGUUGGAAGAUUCAGGGCAGAUAAAAGGAAGUCCUUCUUGAUGCAGUGCAUAGUUAGACUGUGGAACUCGCUCCCACAGGAGGUAAUGAUGGCCCCAACUUAGAUGACUUUAAAAGAGGAUUGGACUGAUCAAUGGAGGUUAAGAGCUGUUUAAAAGUGGAACAGACGCCCUCUCCUUCCUGGGAUGUUUUUAAGCAGAGGUUGGAUGGCCAUCUGUCUUGGAUGCUUUAGUUGACAUUCUUACAUGUCAGGGGGUUGAACUUGAUGACCCUUGGGGUACCUUCCAAUUAUAUGAUUCCAAGGCUAUCAAUGGCUUCUAGCCGUGAUGGUUACAUUCUGCCUUCACUGUCAGAAGCAGUAAUAUCAAUUGCUGAUAACCAGAGCAGAGAAGAGUACAGUGGACGCUCGGGUUGCGAAUGUGAUCCGUGCGGGAGGCACAUUCGCAACCCGCAGCGCUGUGUCUGCGCAUGCGCAGAUCGCGAUUCGGUGCUUCUGCGCAUGCACAAAGUGUGAUUUAGCUUGGCUGCGCAUGCGUGAGUGCCAAAACCCGGAAGUAACCCGUUCUGGUAUUUCUGGGUUUCGGCAUGUCCGUAACCCGAAAACGCGCAACCUGAAGCAUCUGUAAUCUGAGGUAUGACUGUACUUGUGUGCUUGGAUCCUGCUUGCGGGUUUCACACAGGCCUCUGAUUGGCCACUGUGAGAACAGGAUGCUGGAAUAGGCUUUAUGGGUCAAAAGCAGCACUUUGAAUUGGGCCUGGGAACUAAUUGGCAGCCAAUGCAGUCAGGCCAGGAUCAGUAUAAUACGCUCAAUACAUCUUGCUCUGGUGAACCCCUUGGCUGCUGAGUUCCGCACCAGUUUAAGUUUUCAAAGUGUUUAAGAGGCAGCCCCAUGUAUAAAGCAUUGCACUAAUCAAACCUGCAGGUUACCAGAGCACAGAGUACAGAGUUUGGCAAUCCCUUUCCAAAUAGGGGUGCAGCUGGGCCACCAGCAGAAGCUGAUGGAAGGCACUCUGCACCAUCAAGGCCACCUGAGCCUCGAGCAACAGCAAAGGAUGCAGAAGGAGCCCCAAACUGUGUACCCAUUCCUUCAGAAUGCACAAAUAGUGUCUCUGCUUUAUCUGGAUUGAGCAUCAGUUUGUUGGCUCUCAUACAAUCCAUUACCAAGGCAAGGUUAUGUUGAACCUCAGAUUUGGGUUAGUUUCUUUCAUCCCGUAUUUGGACUUAAGAGGAGCUGCUGAUUAGGGCACCCUGACUUUCAUCUCUUAAAGGGAGAAAUGAGCAGGCUGCAGCAAUGUAAUAUUAUGAAAUUCAUGAGACAUAGCCUAGGGACUGCUCAAGAAUCUAGCCCUGAUCUCCAUCUUCAGAAAAACAUGAUUAAAGUCAGGUUCGCUGCCACAUACAGAUAUUCUUGAUGGUUCCACAACCUCCAUAUGGACCACCUGCAGUUGGCAAACAUCUGAUUCAGGGCUUUGUAAAAAAAAGUUUAGAAGAAGCACCUUGAACAUGGGCCAGCAUCUGAGUCCUUUUCCACCACCAAAAUAUUAAAGCUUGAAGUUCCUUUUGGAGAAUGCUAAUCUCAGCCCCAAAUUUUGUUGAACAUCAGAAGAGCUGCGAGACAGAGAUGGCCCAAGACAUUUUGCCACUGUAGGCAAAAUGCUCUGAUGCCCACCAGCCCCACCCAGCAGGUCCAGGUCCCCUCCCACUCCUUGCACAUUACAUUGCGCCACUGCUGCUUUCAGCCCCAUCAUCACAACUGCAUCCUCAGAGUUGGUUAGAGGAUGGUGCUAAUAUUGCGAAGGUUGUGGGUUUGAUCCCCAUAUGGGCCACCUGCAUACUCCUGCAUUGAAGAGAAGAAGAGUUUGGAUUUGAUAUCCCGCUUUAUCACUACCCUAGGGAGUCUCAAAGCGGCUAACAAUCUCCUUUCCCCUCCUCCCCCACAACAAACACUCUGUGAGGUGAGUGGGACUGAGAGACUUCAGAGAAGUGUGACUGGCCCAAGGUCACCCAGCAGCUGCAUGUGGAGGAGUGGGGAAGCGAACCCGGUUCACUAGAUUACGAAUCCACUGCUCUUAACCACUACACCACACUGGCACACCAACACUGCAAGGGGUUGGUCAAGAUGACCCCUGGGAGUCACUUCUAAUUCUACAAUUAUCUGAUUCUAUGAUUCUAAGCUGCAGCUGCACCCACGCUGCCAGCAUGCUGCUGCUGCUGCUGCAGCAGCAGUCAGAGUGCCGUGGUGAGAGCAAUGGGGCUGUGUUGGUGGCAUGGGUGAAGUCACAGUGAGUCUGGCAGCAGUGCAACAGAAGGGGGGGGGUUGGUUCCACUGCCUGAAGCAAAUGGAUCCACUUAGCCUAAUGCACAGGCUGCCUCUGCAGCUGCUGGAUCAGGCCAGUGGCCCAUCUAGUCCAGCAACUCAUUCUCACUGUGGCCAACUAGAUGCCACAAGCAGGAACCAAGCUCAAGAGCACUCCCCUGUCCUGUGGUUUGCAGCAACUAGUACAAUGGUACCUCAGGUUAACUACUUAAUUCAUUCCGGAGGUCUGUCGUUAACCUGAAACUGUUCUUAACCUGAAGCACCACUUUAGCUAAUGGGGCCUCCCGCUGCCGCUGCGCCACCGCCGCACAAUUUCUGUUCUCAUCCUGAAGCAAAGUUCUUAACCCGAGGUACUGUUUCUGGGUUAGUGGAGUCUGUAACCUGAAGCGUAUCUAACCUGAAGCAUAUGUAACCCGAGGUUGAAGAACAGUCCAGUUUAAGAACGAUUUGGUUUACGAACUCUGCAAAACCGGAAAUAGUGUCCCAGUUUGCGAACUUUACCUCGGUCUAAGAAAGGAAUCUGAAUGGUGGAAGGGCACCGGCAGCGGGAGGCCUCAUUAGGGAAAGCGUGCCUUGGUUUAAGAACAGUUUUGGUUUAAGAACGGACUUCUGGAACGGAUUAAGUUCGUAAACAAAGGUACCACUGUAUUCAUAAACAUUACUGCCUCUGAUCAUGAAGGUAGAAUACCACCAUUGGUACUAGUAGCCAUCAAUAAACUUUCCCACCGUGAAUUUGUCCAAUCCUCUUUUAAAGUGAAUUUCAAGCGUGUCUGAUAUGUGCAUGACUGCAUGUGUGCACAUCACACCAAACCCAGAAGUGACCUGAAACUGUUACAAAACUGUCACAAAAAGGGGUGGGGCGUUUGCAGGCUUUUUUCAAUGGCAUUUCAAAUAUAUAAAAUUUCAUUUAAACACACAGUGCCUUGGAACUUUACCCCCUGUGUAAAUUGGGAGUUUCCUGUACCCCACUCACUGUUGGCAAUUUAUGGCAGAUGACGAUAGAACAAAACAAAAUUUAUUAAAUUAGAGAUGAAGGAAGUUAAAAAUGAAAUUAAAAAUGAUAUGGACAAUUUGGAUUAAAAAUAGACUGUGAUGGCCUGGGAAUCCGAUUCAGAGGCUGAACCGGAGGAAUCCCAGCCUGCACAGGAGUCCCCGCCUCCAGGGCCGGCUGAACUGGGGCAGGGCCUUGAUUCUGAAGUGCCUGCACCUGUGCCGGAUCCUCAGGAGCAGGCACCAGGUGAAUCCACUCUGGCUCCAGAGGUGGUUGAGGACUCAGUGCCUACAGGUGAGUCUCUCCCUGGGUCCAGUAACCCUUCAGCUUCUCCUGAACUGCAGAGGCUCAGGGCAGAGAGGCGAAGGGAACUGGUUUCUCCCAGGAGGAGUGCUCGCCUUAAGGCCAGGAGAGGCGGGUCUCCUGGGGGCCAGGACCGCCCCUGGCCUCAGAGAAGAUAAAGGCCAGUCAGCCCAGUCCCAGGUUGCAGGAGCAACGUCGUUGAAGAGCUGUUUCGGCCAGCAUCCAGUCCUGUUCCCCCAGAGUUCCUGUCCUUGCCCGGCUUCUCGCUGUGGACCCCGCUUCGCCCGAGGAGGACUGUCUGCCGACCCUCAACUCAGGUCCUGGACCUCGCCCCACGGUACCCUCCCCCCUGGACCAGCACAUAGACAAACAAAUUGGCAAGACUAGAAGGAACAGUUAAUAAAAAUAGAAUAAUCUUAUACAUCUAUAGAAAUGAGGAAAUUAAUUGAUAAAGUGGAGAAUUUGGAAAGUAAAAGUGAAGUUCUAAACAGAGAUGGGCAGAUAGUUGGAUAAAAAGGUAAAGGGACCCCUGACCAUUAGGUCCAGUCGUGACCGACUCUUGGCACUAAUGAAGCUAAGGGAAAAGGAGUUCUACCUAAGAUUGAGAGUGAUUGCAGAAAAGGAGGAUGAGUAUAUUUUUUUUGGCAUCUGUCUGUCUCAAGAGACAAUGGAGUGCACCUCCGGGGGUGAAGCCAAACCGCUGCAUUACCAGCACCAAAGUGACCUUCCUGGGCCUUGUCUACGGAGGUCCUGGGCUGCCCAGAUGACAAGACUCACUGAUGUGGUCCAAAGGAAAGGAAAGCAAUACAUCUUGCACCAGCUUCGUUGCAAGAAGGAGGCAUAUAAGACACCAUCCAACCGUCUUAGGGACUCAACUCCAGAUUUGCGCAGGGUUUACUCCUUAGCCUUUCCUUCUCCUGAAGAUAUAUCACAGGCAGUGGAAGUUUAGGAUCAGAGUUAUCCAUCUCCUAGAUGGGUUACCUUCUCAGGCUGAUGAGCCUCAUCUGCUCCUAUGAUAUUAGGGAUAAAGUUAUUAAUUCCUUGGCAUGGAUUUUGGAAAAAGAUGUGGGCAAUAUGGAGGCAGAAAUAGAAAAAAAAUACAGAAUUAAUACUCAUUUUGCAAAAUUAGCAACAUACUUUAUGGAGAAAUCCAAACUGGAAAUGGAAGAAAUACAAGUGGAUGAGACUGAAGAAACAGAAUUGGGAGCUGUGGGUAUAGGUUAACAUUUAACUGAAGCCAGAACUUUUCCUUCUAGGAAUAAUGAAUAUACAAUUAGAAAAGGAC